rnacentral:lncRNA from 1 species
UUAAAACCUUUUUUCACAAACAUUAGCCAUAGGUUUGAGUUAUCAUAGUCGUUGAUGUAAACCUCACCUCAUCCUUAGUGAUUAGACUAUAAGUCUUCCAUACUUAUUAUAGGGUGGAUCCUUCACUAGUAUGUUGAAGCUCUCCUCACAUGGUGGAUUGUUGGUUUAGGUUGAGUUUUCUCCCUUUGAUAACAAUAAACCUUAAGGUUUUUUGACAAAUCAAUUCACCAAUAUCUUUUGAGAUUUUU